CACUUCUUAGCCAGAUUUCAUCAAACAACUAUGGCCCCACCAAUCUACCGUGAAAGUUUGAUACAGUUUAUGAAAUUCAUUAAAUUGACGAAACUUCUGUAUCUGUUGAUGAAGGGGUACUACACCAGGCCCCUCUAUGCUGACGAAAAUAAAAACAAAGACGCUACAGGCAAAGCAGAAAUAGUUUCUCUUGUCAUACUGUUUUUGAAAACAUUGAUUGAUGGAGCGUUCACUGCUGCUUGGGAAAACGCAUUCCAUGGGACAACAACUUUAUUUGAAAAAAUUUAUGUCGUUCUUCACAAUUCCCUUCUAGCUGGCGUUCUAGCUUAAUAUUAUGCCCUCUCAAAAUAUACUUGGCUUUGCAGUUUGAAAGAAAAAGUUCGAGUUGAA